UCCUGGCUCAGGAUGAACGCUGGCGGCGUGCCUAACACAUGCAAGUCGAGCGAGAAUUAUGAACGAAGCUUCGGUAGAGUGAGUAAAUGGAAAGCGGCGGACGGGUGAGUAACGCGUAGGCAACCUGCCCUUUGCAGAGGGAUAGCCUCGGGAAACCGGGAUUAAAACCUCAUAAUACCAACGGUUUGCAUAAACCAAUGGUCAAAGAUUUAUCGGCAAAGGAUGGGCCUGCGUCUGAUUAGCUAGUUGGUAAGGUAACGGCUUACCAAGGCGACGAUCAGUAGCCGACCUGAGAGGGUGAUCGGCCACAUUGGAACUGAGACACGGUCCAAACUCCUACGGGAGGCAGCAGUGGGGAAUAUUGCACAAUGGGCGAAAGCCUGAUUGCAGCAACGCCGCGUGAGCGAAGAAGGCCUUUGGGUCGUAAAGCUCUGUCCUUGGGGAAGAAACAAAUGACGGUACCCAUGGAGGAAGCCCCGGCUAACUACGUGCCAGCAGCCGC
rnacentral:rRNA from 1 species